ACCGUGAGAUCAUGACCUGAGCUGAAAUCAAGAGCCGGACACUCAACUGACUGAGCUACUCAGGUGCCCAGGUUUUGCUUCUUAGGCCUUCCUCUCUGCUUCUUCUCCCUUCACCACCUCCACCCUGCUGAAAUCUCACAAUGAAUCUUGAAAGAAUCUAACUAGGUGUGAAUUUUUUUUUUUAAUUUUUUUAACGUUUAUUUUUGAGAGAGUGUGAGCAGGGGAGGGACAGAGAGAGAGGGAGACACAGAAUCCGAAGCAGGCUCCAGGCUGAGCUGUCAGUGCAGAGCCCGAUGCGGGACUCAAACCCACGAACUGUGAGAUCAUGACCUGAGCCGAAGUCAGACACUCAACCGACUAAGCCACCCACGCACCCCUAAGUGUGAAAUUUCUUAAGCCAAGGAGGUUUUUUUUUGUUUGUUUGUUUUUAAUCAACCACAAUUAUUUCUGUUUACAAAUCUGGAAGAAAAAAUAGAUUCAACCUUUUGAAAAUGGUUGACAUUAGAAUGAAUUGAAUAGAAUUGAAGCAUUUGAUAUUGUAUAUGUUCUUACUCCGACAAUAUCAUGAUGGAUCAAAAUAAUUUUGGAUCUCCUUCAACAGUUUCCUUGAAGACUAUUAAGAUACGUAUUAUUUAAAUAAUAUGAUCUGUUCCCUGCCUCCAUGAGCUCCUGGAAGGUAAGGGCCAUGUUUAUUUUUUUAAUAGCACCAACACCUACUGCUCUACCAGAAACCCAGUUAAUUGGUAUUAAAGAGCAUUCUACAAGAAGUGUUUUCAAUGUGAAUAACCAUCACAAUCCAGAAGUCUCCAGUAUCUGUACCCUUUGAUUAGUACCUGAUUUUUAAAAUGUCUCCUUUACUAACCGUUAUAUGUUAUCUCAGGGUAAGUAGAAACUAGUCAUUUCCUCAAAAUCUUAAGAUCUGGCAAGUGUUUUUAAUGUCAGCCAGGUUUAUGUGCUAUUUUUCACCUUCCAAAGAAUAUGGUGGGAGGCAAUGAAAGAUAAUAGCUUGGUUUCACCUAGUCGAGACCAGUGGAUUGAUCUGGAACUUCCCUGUGUAUUGCCCAGAAUGGCCUUAACACCCUACAGUUAAUGGUCCCAGAACUUUCUACAGUAGUGUUUUUAUUUGGAUAGGUGUGCAGUUCUGGCUAAUUUAGAGGGCUCAGCUAGGAUUUCUCAACAGUGAAUCCAGUACUUAUACACUGUGAAGCUUAAAAAGACACUUUGUAAAGAAAGUCACUUUAAGCCAGCGGGGAGCCCAUCUUGUGCAGCCAUGUAAAAUGUCCUGAGGGGGCGCCUGGGUGGCUCAGUCGGUUGAGCAUCCGACUUCGGCUCAGGUCAUGAUCUCGCGGUUCGUGAGUUCAAGCCCCGCGUCAGGCCCUGUGCUGGCAGCUCGGAGCCUGGAGCCUAUUGCGGAUUCUGUGUCUCCCUCUCUCUCUCUGACCCUCCCCCUUUCAUGCUCUCUCUGUCUCAAAAAUAAAUAAACGUCAAAAAAAAAAAAUUAAAAAAAAAUGUCCUGAGAUGUUGAGCAUUCAAUCUGGCUUGUAAGCAUAUGUCUUCUCAUCUGUAAGUUUUCAUUUUUGCAUCUUAGAGACUUGUAAGGGUUUGUCUUGAGACUUUCAGAAAUCCCCACCUUGUGUAGUUUCAGCCUCCGCACCCUCUCCCAGAUCACAUUUCCACUGAAUCUUGUGUUCUCUGUAUUUCCAUACUAUGUCUUAACCACCCCUCUAACUUUGACAUGAGCGACUUUUCUGUUCACCCAGGUUCACCCAGGAAACUGGGACUAUUCCUACAAUAAAGUCCUACUCAUCUAGUGCUUUUUCUGUGGAGUGCACUGUAGAUUUGUUCCUUUUCCUCAUGUCAUGCAUCUGAGUUAUGGUUAUAUUCUAAAGAUCCAACCUCUUUUCCUAAGAACUCUGACUUUCCGUAUAUGAUUCCCUUCCAUCAGAAACGCUGCCCUGGGUUCCCUUCCCCCCACCCUUUUGCCCCUUGUCUCACCCCCCAGAACUCCAUAUCUUAUUACAAGUUAUUGUGCUUGUAGGAAUAGAGAAUAUUACACCAUGCCGAGAUGUGGAGGCUGGGGAGUGGCUGAGCCUACUAGCUAAUGACCUGAACAUCGUGGCACUGGGCCUACAUUUGAACUUCAGUAAAAUGGCAAGACCUCACACAUUGGACCUUCACAGUUAACUCAGGAGGCAACUUUGGAAGCCCACACUUCCCUCUUAGCUAAAGCACGGCACGGCCUGCUGUCUCAUUGCCCAGGAAGCGCAUAGCUAACCACUCUCAGCCACGAUUUGGUCCCAGCUCCUAGAGCUCUGGCUUGCUGAAAAAAUACAGCCCAACCAGAUGGGAACUCCUGCCUGGCACUGGGGCUUCUAAGCCAUCAGGCAUCGUGGCGGAUGUGAAGGGAACCAACUCAGAAGCCUCUCCGGGAAAUCCUUAGUGCCAAAGGUGUUAGAGCAGCUUCAUUUAAACAUGUGAAGGAUCCCCGGCCCCAUCCCUGUCUUCCACAAGGUUGCUUUGUGUCUUACUGAAGCCCCUGGCUGUGCUUUUCUGGAACAGUGACACAGCAGACAACUCCUUUACCUCAAGGUUCAUUACCUUCUUGAUAUGAUACCUACUUGUUUAGGCCAUGAAAUUUCACUGUGAAUAAGCAAAGAUUUGGCAGGAUGUUCACCACUAGAGCAAGCACCUGAAGGAAACCUUGGCCUCACCUCGGCAUAUGUGACUAUUGCUGUUUCACAGGAGAUCCAUUCUAGAAAUGCCUUUGCUCAUAGCUGAACUGAUUAACAAAACCUUGAAGAAAGCACAAAGUUUUAGUUCAAAAAAUAAUCCAGCUUCUCUGUCAUCAUCCCUUGCCUUCUUAGGCCUGUCCAAACUGUACUGGUAAGAACUUCACAUUCAAAAAAAGUUACGGUCAGUGAUUCUUCAUACAUAAAAUUCAAGUGAUUUCCUUGCGUGUUUCGUAUCACUUUUCUCCUCCUCUCAUGCAUAACUUAUUGCAAUGGUUUAUUUUUUUAUAAAACAUUCCCCUAAUGCCUUGUCUUGGGUUUAAUAUAGCACAAUUUGCAAGUGCCCCUUUAUAGACUGUUGGUUUUAACCACUGCCUUAACAUUUACUUCUUAGUGCAGCUUUAAAAAUCUGAAUCUCCAAUUUCAUUCAGUCCUGAUGCUCUGGUGUUCUGUGUCACUGUGGUACAGGUCCAUGAAACCAGCAGCCUGCUAAUGUCUUUGUGCUGAAAUACAGUAAAGAAAAGGAAGAAAAGGUAGUUAAGUACAAGUAAAUAGGAGAAAAAUUAUGUCCUUGUUGUUUAAAUUCAGCCCUGCAUAGAUUAUAGGAUCAUACUUUUUUCUUUUAAAUCAGCUAAACUUAACCAAUAUUUGAGAAAACAAUAUACUUCCACUUUAAACCAGCAGAAGCGUUCAUUUUAUUUCCGAGGUACAUCUGGCCAAAUUCCAACACAAAACUUGUCACCUUCACACAAUCUGCACUGGAGUAUAUUUUUUAAAAUACCUGAUGAACAUUUGCCUAAUAAAGGGGGGAUUUUAGCUUU